GAUGAAGAACGUAGCGAAAUGCGAUAAGUAGUGUGAAUUGCAGAAUUCAGUGAAUUAUCGAAUCUUUGAACGCACAUUGCGCCCCUUGGUAUCCCGAGGGGCAUGCCUGUUCGAGCGUCAUUUCACCACUCAAGCCUGGCUUGGUGUUGGGCGACGUCCUCUUUGGGGACGCGCCUCGAAACGCUCGGCGGCGUGGCACCGGCUUUAAGCGUAGCAGAAUCUUUCGCUUUGGAAGUCGGGGCCCCGUCUGCCGGAAGACCUGCUCGCAAGGUUGACCUCGGAUCAGGCAGGGAUACCCGCUGAACUUAAGCAUAUCAAUAAGCGGAGGA
rnacentral:misc_RNA from 1 species